rnacentral:rRNA from 1 species
AGUGAACGCUGGCGGUAGGCCUAACACAUGCAAGUCGAACGGCAGCACAGUAAGAGCUUGCUCUUACGGGUGGCGAGUGGCGGACGGGUGAGGAAUACAUCGGAAUCUACUUUUUCGUGGGGGAUAACGAAGGGAAACUUACGCUAAUACCGCAUACGACCUCCGGGGGAAAGCAGGGGAUCUUGGGACCUUGCGCGAUUGAAUGAGCCGAUGUCGGAUUAGCUAGUUGGCGGGGUAAAGGCCCACCAAGGCGACGAUCCGUAGCUGGUCUGAGAGGAUGAUCAGCCACACUGGAACUGAGACACGGUCCAGACUCCUACGGGAGGCAGCAGUGGGGAAUAUUGGACAAUGGGCGCAAGCCUGAUCCAGCCAUACCGCGUGGGUGAAGAAGGCCUUCGGGUUGUAAAGCCCUUUUGUUGGGAAAGAAAAGCAGCAGGUUAAUACCCCGCUGUUCUGACGGUACCCAAAGAAUAAGCACCGGCUAACUUCGUG